UACGUGAGGGGCGAACGUUGUUCGGUGUCACUGGGCUUAAAGGGUGCGUAGGUGGUUGUGUAAGUAACGUGUGAAAUCCCUCGGCUUACCCGGGGAAUUGCAUGUUAUACUGCAAUGACUUGAGGACUAAAGGGGAAAAGGGAACUCCAGGUGUAGCGGUGAAAUGCGCAGAUAUCUGGGGGAAGGCCGGCGGCGAAGGCGCUUUUCUGGUUAGUACCUGACACUGAGGCACGAAAGCGUGGGGAGCAACAGG
rnacentral:rRNA from 1 species